AGCUGAGCCCUGGCAGCUAGAACAGAGACUGGCCCACAGUUGGCCCACUUGAAAUAUGUUUGAUGAAUACGUGAAUGAAUGAAUCAAUCAGUGAGUGGACUUUGGUUAGGAUUAUCAGAUUUAGCAAACAAAUAUGCCCAGAAUUUGAAUGCAGACACUUCAGAGAGAGGCAUCCAAACAGAGAAGGCAUACAUGAGUCUGGAGAAGCUACAUCUAAGCAAAAUCCUUGAGCUGGAGAGGAGGAUGAGACAGGACAAGCCACAGUGCAGGUGGAACCACAACAGAGGAAGCUGAAGCCCAUACAGAGACUGAGGCCCUGGAAUAGAUCAAUCUGAGGAUCCUUGUUACUAAGAAAAUGGAAACUGGGCCAAAAAUAUAAACGAUGCCCCUUUGCAGAAUCCUAAAGGAAACAGAGAAACUGGCAACAAUGGACAAGCCACUCUCAUGGGCUCCUUUUUCCCAGAGAGAACAAUGACAUCACCUAAGAAGUGUCUUCCACACUUGGAAAAUCUAGGGUUUUCCAUAAGAAAUGUAAGACUGUCUUAUCAGUGUUCAUCGAUCUAUCCUUAAACACACAUUCAUAGUGUCAUUAUUAUGUGAUAGUGAUGUCCUUAAAAAUACUGACUUCUGUAGGAAUAGACUCUAAAAAGUGGAUUGUGAGGAAAACAAGUGAAUGUAACACCCCUGGUAAGUUCAGUAAAGUUCUUCAAAGGUCCCUCCCCUAUUUGAGUUACCUUAUUUUCAUAUAGAUCUUAUACAUAUUUUUCUAGAAUUAUACCCUAAGUAUUUCAUUUCUUUGGUGCUAAUGUUAAUGGCAUUUUAAUUUAUAAUUUCAAAUUCCUAUUGUUCAUUGCUGGUAUAUAAAAAAGUGAUUGACUUUUGUAUAUUACUGUUGUAUCCUGCAACCUUGAUUUAAUCAUUUAUUAGUUCCAGGAGUUUUUUGUUGUUUUUAUUGUUGACUCUUUGGGUCUUUCUACAUAGAUAAUCAUAUCAUCUGAGAUCAAAGACAGUUUUAUUUCUUUCUUCCCAGUCUGUGUACCUCUUAUUUCUUUUCUUAUUGCAUCAGCUAGGACUUCCAAUGCAAUGUUGAAUAGGAGUAGUGAGAAGGAAAAUCCUUCCCUUAUUCCUGAUCUUAGAGGAAAAACAUCUAGCUUCUUUCCCUGAAGUAUAAUGUUGGCUGUAUGUUUUUUGUAGAUAUGCUUUAUCAAGUUGAGGAAGUUCACCUCUAUUCCUAGUUUUCUGGCAGUUUUUAUCACAGAUUAGCGUUGAAUUUGUUAAAUGUUUUUUCUGCUUCUAUUAAUAUGAAAAUGUAAAUUUUCUCCUUUAGCCUGUUGAUGUGAUGGGUUAAUUGAUUUUCAAAUGUUGAGCCAGUCUUGCAUACCAGGAAUAAAUACCAUUUGGUCACAGCAUAUAAUUCUUUUCAUACAUUGUUGAAUUCAAUUUGCUAAUAUUUUGUUGGGGAGUUUUGCAUCCAUGUUCAUGAGAGAUAUUGGUCUGUGGUUUUCCUUUCUUGUAAUAUCUUUAUCUUAUUUUGGUAUUAGGGUAAUGUUGUCAUCA
rnacentral:lncRNA from 1 species